AAUAAUCAGUUGUUGCUUGGUGAAUACAAAAUCAAAGUGAGAGGAGUUAGUCAGAUGGUCUUGAUGGCCACCAUCACCUAAUCCUGAAGCUCCCACUGUCCUACAAAAAACUAUGCCUGUAAUGGCAGCCUUCCCUCUGCAAGGGAGGUUGAGGGUUUUUUACUAUUGGCAGUCAUGUGCUCAUCUAAAAACAAGAAUUCAGUAAAUAAGGAAGAAGAAGAAGGGAGCAGAUACUGAGGGGCAACCAGUAACCUCUAUCUUAAAGCCCUUAAUAAGUAUUUGUCAAAAGAAUAGUGAAUGAAUGAGUCGAUACUGCUAGAAAUCCAGGCUCAUUAUAACCUGAGGAAAAAGGUUGAAUUCUGAAAUGCUGAUUCUUCCACUUACUGAAAAUGUAAUCUGAAUGUAAUCUGUACACUGAGGCUUAAUGUAAAUUAAAAUUAAAAUGGAGAAGAUAAAAAUACCUACUGGAAUAAGAAAAUGUAUGUAGACGGCCUACUUAGCACAGCUUGGGACAUGGUUGGAGCUCAACAAAUGUUAUUUCCUGUCUCUCCCUCCUGUAAAGCUAAGGUCCAGACUCGGGGAUUUAAUAACUCUCUCUUACAUCUCUCCCUGUCUCCCACUUGACUGUCUGGAAGACCUCUGAAGACGUCUCUAAGGAGCACAGCCAGCAAGUGACAGAGCCUGGUGAGGUACCUGGGCAGUCUGACUUCAGAGCUGGCACCUGUGAUGGCCUGUUCUGCUACCCCCUGUCUUGCUCAUUUGACUGUGACCUCCCUUGAGGAAGGAGUGGCUGUACCGGUUUGCAUUUCCACCAUCGAUGUCUGAGAGAUUCUGUUGCUCCAUAUCCUCACCAGCAUUUGCUGUUGUCAGUGUUGCAGAUUUUGGCCAUUCUAACAGAUUUCACAUUUUGCCGCAGACCGGCUGCAGAAAGCUAGAAGUUCCUGGCGGUGAGGGGUAAGGAACUGAAAAGCACCAGUAUGGGGUCAGAAGGGCCAAGACAACUGAUGGUUGCAAGGCAAGUUUAUUCAAAGAGCAUGAAUGUAUAUAUAGGUUUAGUAUGGAACGAAUAUUAGACAAUAAAUCAGUAAACCUUGUAUUUCCACAUAAUUCUGUCGCCACUAUCUAUGCGCCACUAUCUAUGCGUCAGCAUGCCUUAUGGGCCAUUCUCUGGAGAUACAGACUUCCCCUUCAGGGCAGCACGUCCUUCUUCUGGGGAACAACCAGGGGCUCUUAGAUCCAGAGCAGGCACCUGGAACGAAACUGGCCGCAAGCCAUUUUCCUUUUUUACGCUCAAUACCGCAGCGUCAGGAGUGCAUACCAAGAAAGAGACAAGCAGUUCUCCGGAAAGCAGAAAGCUGAAUAAGCUUACAGCUUGGGGGCCACCACAUUUCCCCCUUUUUUAUUAUUUUUUAAAGCUUGAUAAUGUAGCUUUAAGCCAUGAACAUCCUGACGCAAGACAGCGAAGCGCCCCAUUACAAAUCUAACAACACAAGGUAAUAAACCGAUCACCAAUAAAAGUAGUACACCAAUUGAUAUCAGGCCUGAGAGCCCUCCAUGAAUCCAUUGUAUCGGGUUUAGCCCUUGUAGUUGAUCUAAUAAUCCUUGAAUCAAAUUCUGGGGUCCAUCUUCGUCCAGGUGGGCCUCUUGAAUAGCUUGUAUUUCGGCAUUUAACUUUUGAAUAUCAAGGCUAAUGUGUCCAUCAGUCCAUACACUUAAUAUAUGCAUAGAGAGUGAUCCAACGAAGUAUUAGAAGCAAGCUUAGUUACUCUAGCAUUCAUGUGAAUGGGAACGUUAUCCUUAUACCAAAAUACAAAGGUGGAUAAAUCUUCUCGUCUAGAAACAGUCAAGUAAUUUGAUUUCGAUCUCCCCUCGCCUCCCUGACAAGUUGUCUCCUACUUCGUCGCUGCAUUCUUCUCAUCCGCCGGGGGAACCGGUUGGGGUGUGCUGUGGUCGAUUGCGAGAGCCUCAGGCGACGCAUUCUUCGAGUCAGGGUGUUUAUUGGUGAUGGCAUGAUAAUGUCGAACCAAGCGCUCCGGGAGCCACCGAGGAGAGUCUGCCUCCCUACGGAAAACACAAACAUGGCCUCGGCCCCAUACUAAAACAGGGUCUGGUCCAUGCCAAAGGUUAGUCAUGGGAUCUUUCCAUUUAACAAGCGCUUUUUCAGGAGGGGUUCCAGAAAGACCUGUAAACAAUCGUUCAUAAGGCGUGUGACUAAAUGCAUCUAAAGUUAAAAAAUUUAAAAUAAAUAAAGCAUGAUUAAGCAUAAUCUGAGGAGAUCUUUCAUAUUCCCCCU